CCGGCCCCGCCCUGCCGGCUGGGAGCCUCCCAGCCGCGAUCCUCCGGGGCGGGACUUCCGGCUUCCCUGCUCCCACAAAAUGGUAGCCGCCGUGGGGGAUGUCCAGUUUUUUUUCCUCUUCCCAAGUACAGACGCAGAGCAGACUUGUCUUUCCGCUUAACCUCAACCUCGUGUGAUCUGCCAGUUUCGCUCCCGACGCCAAAUUCCAGCGAAACAGCUGAUGCCAGCCAGCUUGAAGACCCCUGCCACAGAAGAAGGGAAUCAGCAUGAGAAUACAGCUUCUUCAUCUCGCUGUCCCAUGACUUCGCCCUGUACUCUUCAGCCAAUUAAUGAUCUCCACACUUGGGACCACUCUAAAACCCUUAAGAACCUGAGACUCAAAGUCCUCCUGGAGACGAAUUUGAGGUUUCCUCCUAUCUGUGUUUGGUGGCCCUAUGAUUAAACCUCUUUCUCUUCUGCAACCUGGUGUCCCAGUGUAUUAACUUGCCAUGGGCAUCAGACAACAAACCUAUAUAUAGUAUCCCAAAUAUGGUGCUCCACUUUGAAACCUGAAGAAAUCCUGCAAUUGAG
rnacentral:lncRNA from 1 species